rnacentral:rRNA from 1 species
AGCGUAGACGGCAUCACAAGUCAGAAGUGAAAAUCCGGGGCUCAACCCCGGAACUGCUUUUGAAACUGUGGAGCUGGAGUGCAGGAGAGGUAAGCGGAAUUCCUAGUGUAGCGGUGAAAUGCGUAGAUAUUAGGAGGAACACCAGUGGCGAAGGCGGCUUACUGGACUGUAACUGACGUUGAGGCUCGAAAGCGUGGGGAGCAAACA